GCGAGUGAAGCGGCAACAGCUCAAAUUUGAAAGCUGGCUCCGGCCCGCAUUGUAAUUUGCAGAGGAUGCUUCUGGCGAGGUGCCUUCCGAGUUCCCUGGAACGGGACGCCAUAGAGGGUGAGAGCCCCGUAUGGAUGGACACCAAGCCUGUGUGAAGCUCCUUCAACGAGUCGAGUAGUUUGGGAAUGCUGCUCAAAAUGGGAGGUAAAUCUCUUCUAAAGCUAAAUACCGGCCAGAGACCGAUAGCGCACAAGUAGAGUGAUCGAAAGAUGAAAAGCACCUUGAAAAGGGGGUUAAACAGUACGUGAAAUUGUUGAAAGGGAAGCGCUUGUGACCAGACUUGCGCCGGGCGGCUCAUCAGGGGUUCUCCCCUGUGCACUCCGCCCGGCUCAGGCCAGCAUCGGUUCUCGUGGGAGGAUAAGAACGGUGGGAACGUGGCCCCCCUCCGGGGGGGUGUUAUAGCCCACCGUACGAUACUCUCGUGGGGACCGAGGUUCGCGCUCCGCAAGGAUGCUGGC
rnacentral:rRNA from 2 species